AUGAACAAAAUUACUUUGUCUUAUAGCAUACUCCAACUCUUACUGAUGUUAGUUACUCAAGAGAUUGUGAACUAUCAUUCUUUUUUUUUUUUUAAAGAUUGGCACCUGCGAUAACAUCUGUUGCCAAUAUUUUUUUUUUCCUUCUUCUCCCCAAAGCCCCCCUAGUACAUAGUUGUAUGUUCGAGUUGUGAGUGCCUCUGGUUGUACUAUGUGGGACGCCACCUCAGCAUGGCCUGAUGAGUGGUGCCAUGUCCGUGCCCAGGAUCCAAACUGGCAAAACCCGGGGCCACCAAAGUGGAGCGUGUGAACUUAACCACUUGGCCAUGGGGCCGGCCCCUGUGUCAUUUUUAAAGUACAGUAGUUGCUAAGGAAAAUAUGUCCCCUUCUUAUUUAAUUCUGUAUCAUUUUCUUUCUAGGGUUUCCCAAAAUGUCAUUUUAAUCUUAGCAGAAUGCUGGUGGAAGGAUACCACAAGAUCCUAGGAAAGAGAGCUCCAGAUGAAUUUUAACUGUCUAAUGACAGAUUUUAUGACUGAGGCAUUAUGAAAUCUGCUAUCAAGGCACAAGACCAAUAAGAGAAUGUGUGGUAUAGAAAGUCAAACAGCCUCAUGCCAAAUCUGUUACAGACAACAGCAAAAUGAUUCAAACUGUUUGAAAAAUUACUGUGGAGAUUUUUGUGGAAAAAUUAUUGUUGUAAGAAAAUGUAUAAGUCUCAUGGAUCUAUCCUGAGCUUUGGGAUCAGAGCCCUGAGUAUUGAGAGCCUAACCUGUGCCAGGUACCUGCUAGACACUGGGUGCAGAAUGCCUCAUAAAGCUGACAGAGCAGACUGUGAAACCUAUUCAUUGUGUGGCCUGUCCAAUGAAUUACAUUUGUUUCCAAGUUCUGAAAGAUGCUCUCAACAAGCACAAGCUGAGAAGACUGACACCGAGAGAAGUUGUGUGACCUGUCCAGUGUCUCAGAGCUAAUCCAAAGGAGAGCUGACACUGGAACCAAGGACUGCAUGACUCCUGAAACCAUACUCUCAAAUGCUGCAUUCCAUAUAAACAAUUCGCAUUGAAAAGUACUUGGCAAUUUACUAAUUGUGCAAGGUUUUUUAAAAUAAUAAAACUUAUAAGUACAUACA
rnacentral:lncRNA from 1 species